AGAAUUGACGGGGCCGCACAGCGGUGGAGUAUGUGGUUUAAUCGAAGCAACGCGAAGAACCUUACCAGGGCUUGACAUCCCUUGAAGCAGCUAGAGAUAGCUGUGUCCUUCGGGACAAGGAGACAGGUGGUGCAUGGUUGUCGUCAGCUCGUGUCGUGAGAUGUUGGGUUAAGUCCCGCAACGAGCGCAACCCUUGUCAUUAGUUGCCAUCAUUUAGUUGGGCACUCUAAUGAGACUGCCGGUGACAAACCGGAGGAAGGUGGGGAUGACGUCAAGUCCUCAUGGCCCUUAUGGGUAGGGCUUCACACGUCAUACAAUGGUCGGUACAGAGGGUUGCCAAGCCGCGAGGUGGAGCCAAUCCCUUAAAGCCGAUCGUAGUCCGGAUCGUAGUCUGCAACUCGACUACGUGAAGUCGGAAUCGCUAGUAAUCGCAGAUCAGCAUGCUGCGGUGAAUACGUUCCCGGGUCUU
rnacentral:rRNA from 1 species